rnacentral:rRNA from 1 species
AGGGUUUGAUUAUGGCUCAGGACGAACGCUGGCGGCGCGCCUAACACAUGCAAGUCGAACGGAGUUGUGUUGAAAGCUUGCUGGAUAUACAACUUAGUGGCGGACGGGUGAGUAACACGUGAGUAACCUGCCUCUCAGAGUGGAAUAACGUUUGGAAACGAACGCUAAUACCGCAUAACGUGAGAAGAGGGCAUCCUCUUUUUACCAAAGAUUUAUCGCUGAGAGAUGGGCUCGCGGCCGAUUAGGUAGUUGGUGAGAUAACAGCCCACCAAGCCGACGAUCGGUAGCCGGACUGAGAGGUUGAUCGGCCACAUUGGGACUGAGACACGGCCCAG